AGCGGAAUCCGAACUGUUCGUCUAUGA
rnacentral:sRNA from 1 species